AUGAAUUGGGCUCCGCCUAUGUCGGCGUUGAUGUUGAAAGGCCUUUUAGAGGUGGCGGCAAGAGUUGCCAAGACUGACAAAGGAUUCAAAGGGGUUGAAAAGUUGAAAGUUGCAAAGCGUAUCUCUUCUUUCAUUGGUUAUGACAUGCCUAUUACCCAAGUGCAUAAUCAUAAUUGCAAGUGUCGGAAUAGGUGGACAAGGCUUGUCUAUUUAAAGGGUUUAAGUGGGGCACUUUGGGAUGAUGACAAGAAGAUGGUAGUGCAAGAAGAAGAACACUAUUUGGGCCACACUCAGGAUCAUCCAACAGAUGCUGAAGUGCUCAAUUCUCCACUGGAGAACUACGACUAUAUGGAACCUUGCUUUGCUAAUAAGCAUGCCACUGGGAAUUAUGCAAUGGCCACCGAUGUGCCCCUAGGAACGCCUAUUGUUGUGGAAGACAAGGAUAAACCCAAUGUCAUGGAGGGGCAAGGAACAACAGAUGAGGUAUCGCAACAUCUUCCUGGGUCUAACUUUGUACUUCCUACUGCUAGUGCCACUCAGGACCCUUCUCCUACUUCAAAUAAGAAGAGAAAGAGGGCAUCUGGUUUGACCGAGGAGGACUCAAUCCAGUGUAGCAGCAUGAAUGAUGCUAUGCGUGAGAUUGCAAGUGCUAUCAACAACACUUGCCAUGCCGAAACACACCCUGACUUGUACAAGGCUGUCAUGGACCUUCUUGUGUUUGAUCAAGAUGAGUGCUUGGCUGUUUUAGAUUAUCUCACAGAACAUAAGGCAAAAGGCCUUAACUUUGUGAAGAUGGAUUCUAAAGUUCGUCAAGCAUCGUUCAAGCGUAUCUUG
rnacentral:rRNA from 1 species